CUACGUAGGUGGCAAGCGUUGUCCGGAAUUAUUGGGCGUAAAGCGCAUGUAGGCGGUUUGGUAAGUCGGUCGUGAAAAUGCGGUGCUUAACGCCGUAUGGCGAUUGAAACUGCUGAACUUGAGUGCAGGAGAGGAAAGGGGAACUCCCAGUGUAGCGGUGAAAUGCGUAGAUAUUGGGAGGAACACCGGUGGCGAAGGCGCCUUUCUGGACUGUGUCGGACGCUCAGAUGCGAAAGCCAGGGUAGCGAACGGGAUUAGAUACCCCGGUAGUCCUGGCCGUAAACGAUGGGUACUAGGUGUGGGAGGUAUCGACUCCUUCCGUGCCGGAGUUAACGCAAUAAGUACCCCGCCUGGGGAGUACGGCCGCAAGGCUUAAACUCAAAUGAAUUGACGGGG
rnacentral:rRNA from 1 species